rnacentral:rRNA from 1 species
UACGUAGGGUGCAAGCGUUGUCCGGAAUUAUUGGGCGUAAAGAGCUCGUAGGCGGUUCGUCGCGUCGGCUGUGAAACCCGGAGCUCAACUCCGGGCCUGCAGUCGAUACGGGCGGACUCGAGUUCGGCAGGGGAGACUGGAAUUCCUGGUGUAGCGGUGAAAUGCGCAGAUAUCAGGAGGAACACCGGUGGCGAAGGCGGUCUCUGGGCCGAUACUGACGCUGAGGAGCGAAGCGUGGGAGCGAACAGG